AGAACGAACGCUGGCGGCAGGCCUCAAACAUGCAAGUCUAGGGGGUGUAGCAAUACAUCACCGGCGGACGGGUGCGUAACACGUGGGAAUAUACCUUUUGGUUCGGAACAACGCAGGGAAACUUGCGCUAAUACCGAAUGUGCCCUUACGGGGGAAAGAUUUAUCGCCAAAAGAUCGGCCCGCGUCUGAUUAGCUAGUUGGUGAGGUAACGGCUCACCAAGGCGACGAUCAGUAGCUGGUCUGAGAGGAUGAUCAGCCACAUUGGGACUGAGACACGGCCCAAACUCCUACGGGAGGCAGCAGUGGGGAAUAUUGGACAAUGGGCGCAAGCCUGAUCCAGCCAUGCCGCGUGAGUGAUGAAGGCCCUAGGGUUGUAAAGCUCUUUGUGCGGGAAGAUAAUGACGGUACCGCAAGAAUAAGCCCGGCUAACUCGUGCCAGCAGCCGC
rnacentral:rRNA from 1 species